UGCACAGCCUAGGAAGCGCCAGGGUUCAUUCUGGGGAGAGGGGCUGGAGAGAUCAAUGGUCUCAAUUCUGCUUUCAGAGUUCUGCCUUGCGUGCCUCAGUUUACCCUCUGCCCCAAGGGGCGAAGUAGAGAGAUAUCAGGGAUUUGGUUUCGUAAUCCCUUUCCACUUGACCUCCCUCCCCUACUAAUCCUCUUUAGGCGCCAAAGUACUCGUUUUCAACCCAGACGUGCUCAAGAACCAACCCGAGGCCAUCCAGCCCUCCAUCUGCCCGCCCGCUCAUUUCACAUCCCCCACUCGGCCGCAAAAACAGAAAAUCAAGAGGCGGUGCUUUCUCCCGCAAGCUUUACAUCCCUCCCGCGAGCCUCCUUUCUCUGUCCCACUUAGACUGGGAAACGGAAGAUCAACUGGCGGCGCGGCUGCAGAGUCGGUUUCCUAUUGGCCAGGACUGCUGGAGCUGCGCCCGCCCGCCCCACCUGGGCGGGGCUUCCGCGCAGACCUGGUGCCUUCUUGGGCCCCCGCGACUUCUGGCUGGCCUGGCCGUCUUAAAGGGGCCGCGGCAGGAUCCGGUCGCUUGGCUGACUGCUCUCUCCAGACCAACCUGGGCCUCUCAGUAUCCCAGGCUCGAGUGCCGACGGAGACCGGGAAGCCGAACGCUGGAGGCGCGGCAUCAGCCUGUCGCGCUCGCUGCACCUGCCGAAAGUCCCUCCCACUACUUUUGGGCGCAGUUUCUCGAGUCACCAUUAGGGGGAGGGGCGGCCAGAAACACAUUGGCGAAAAAUAAUAAUAGCUAACAUUGACUCACGGCGUUGCACAAACCCAAGGCCUUUUUACUCACCUCUCGCGUCGUCCUCGCCAAAACUCUAUAAGGGGAGCCAUGCAGAUGCGUUUCCUAAACAAACGUACCCUAACCCAGACGGCCGCGGUCAGGUGUUACAACGCAGGCGUGUUCUACGCAGCCGUUUCCCACACAGGUAUGCUUCCGUUCGUCUACACUCCAGAGAUGUGGCUCAACGCACACGUCUCCCACAGGUGUGCCCGCAACAUAGGUGGGAGGUCCCUCUUACCCUAGCUCGCUUCCGCCCCUACUUACUCCUUGCUGUUGUAGAAUUAGGUUCCCGUUACAGGUGCGUCCCUGGCGCGGCCCCACCCCCGUUCGGCUCCGCCCUCCCAUCUGGGCUCAGGUGCACGAGCCGGAAGUGCGCUCCUCUCCCAGGUGAGUGACUAAACUUUCCGGGUCACGUGAACGGGAGGAGCUGAAGGAGUCCGACCGAGCUACCGACCGACGCACCGAGGGUUCGAGCCAGGUACUCGGACCGGGCACCGGAGCAAGGUCGAAGACGCCUGGGCCAGGUGCCGGGUCGCAGGUACCCCUGGCCCGAGAUGCGGUAGAAACAGCGCGCAGGAGACGCCCGGUUCCCGGUGCCACCAGCCCGUCGCCCGGCCCAUGGCGAGCCCCGGCCUGGGGCUGCUUCUGGCGCUCGGCCUGCAGCUGCUGCCCGCCCGCUGGGGCCGGGCCUGGGGGCAAACGCUGGACCCCCCCGUAAAUGACAACAGCACCAUCACACCCUCUGACCCGGGCUCCGGCUCCCAUGGGGCGCUGUCUCAGGAGGCUAUCACCGCCAUCAUUGUGGUCUUCUCCCUCCUGGCCGCCUCGCUCCUGGCCGUGGGGCUGGUGCUGCUGGUUCGAAAACUUCGGGAGAAGCGGCAGACACAGGGCACCUACCGGCCCAGCAGCGAGGAGCAGGUGGGUGCCCGCGUGCCGCCGCCCCCCAACCUCAAGCUGCCGCCGGAGGAGCGGCUCAUCUGAAUGCCGGGGCCCCGUUGCCGCCUCCACCGCUGCCCAGGACUGCCCGGCGCUCGCUCACACACAGCAGCCGCCACCGAGGAAACAGCCUCUGAUGUUCUCCCACGCAGCCGAGGCCCGGGCUCCCCAGGACUCCAAGGAGACAGUGCGGGGCUGCCUGCCCAUCUAGGUCCCUUUUCCAUCUCUCUCUCUCUCUCUCUCUCUCUCUCACUGUGUGACCUUGGGGGAAGGCAGAGCCCUCUCUGGGCAAUCAAACCUACCUAGUGCUUAAGAAUAGAAGGGAGGAAGGUGCUUCAAAGACUCUGCCCCUGAGGGGAAGGGAGGGUGGUGCUGCUUACAUUUUUUAUAUAUAUAUAUAUAUAUAUAUAUAUAUACACGUAUAUACAUAAAUCCCAUAGUGAGAUAUAAUAAAACCUUUUUUUUUUUUUUUUAAGCCGGUGGGGCAGGAGUCAGUCUAGAUGGAGAGGACAAACUCAGGGCUCAUAGGCUGUUGAGAGAUGAAUUGUAAGGGUGCAAGAAUCCAGGGGGGGCUUCCUGGAAGGGAGGGGCUUCCUGCUGCACCUGGGAGCCAGCUGGAGGAGGAGGAGGAAGGUGGCGGAUGGGGUACGUUUCUGAGCACAGAGAGGGCCCCCAGAUAAACUCACCAGGAAAACCAGCUUUGGGCUCAUGUGGCUUUAUUGAAGGACCAGGGUCUCCUCUGGGACCCUGAUUCUUAACCUUCAAAACACUUUUUAAGCUCAGCGACUCUGGGCCGGCUCCUAGCCUGGGACUCCUGCCAGUCGCUGUCGGGUGCAGCAGGGGGCCUGAGGGCUCCUGGCCCCUUGGGGCACUGGAAAUGAGCAUGUUCUGCCAGCAUGACCUCAGAUGGCUGGGGCCUGGGGUUCUCUGGGGAACCAGGAUCUGAGGAAGAAUCAAGGGGCUCAAGGGGUUGGGAUGUCCAGGUAAUAUCCAAGUUGGGCUUUGUGGGGACCAGAAGUUGGGGGCUUUCUGGAGGGCUGGACUGGGUGGGUGCUGUGGACAGCUGAGAGCAGGGGCUCUCCUGGGCUCUGGGGUCUUCAGCUGCCUUGCGGGGAGGGGAGAGAUGUAGGAUGAGAAGACUGGACUCGGGGUCCCCUGGGCUGCUGGGGUCUGCAGAAGCUGGUGGAGGCAGCUGGUGAAGGAUGGCUUCUUGGCUGGCCUCCAAGGCUGGCUGGGAAAUAGGGUCCUUUGAGGAGGUCGCGGCAUCCGAAGACUGGAGGGUUUGCUGAGAUGGCAGGUCCGCAGGCAGGGACAGGGGCUGGGGCUCUGGAAGUUUCUCAUCGUCUGGUUGCCAUCUUGGUCUUUCCGCUAUGUCAGGCUGGGUGGGGGUAGGGGAACGGGCAAGUUGCUGGCCUUCAGAUGCUGGGGAAGGCUGACAAGUCCGAUGGACUUUUGGCAGGGGGGUUGGACGGGGGCUGGGGCUCUCACCAAGCUGAAGCAGCCGUCCGUGUCCUCUCUGUGACAGCAGUCCAAGCUCUGGCUGGGCCGCAGGCUCCCUGUCCUGCUGGCUCCCAGGCUCAGACUGUCCAGAAUCUCGCCCAGCAAAUCUAGUUCUUCUCCAGACCCCAGGAAGCUGCUGUCCAGAGCCUCCUCUGCCCAUGGGUCCUGGGCCUCCUCAGGGCUCCGAGCAGGUGUCCUGGGUAAGGAUGGGCAGCCCCAGAUGUCUGCCCAAGACCCCUAGUCCUAAUGGGACUGCUCUGGAGGUUCUGGAGUUUAGGGACCUGGCCUCCCUGCCCCCUCCCCCUGCCUUUGAGUCUCACCCUUCCUCCCGGGACUCGGAAGGUCUCUCUUCUAGUCGCCGUCUCCUGCUGGGGCGAAGGGGCCGGUUCUGCGAAGGACAGAUUUGGAGGGUGGGGCCUCAGGAACUACAGGUUUCUGGAGGAGGGUGUGUGGUAAGUGGGCACCGAACACUGGGGUAGGUGAGCAUGUGAGCAAGAAGUCUGGGUGUAGACAGAAUGGGAGAAGGACAAGGUGGCGUUAGUGUCGCAGGGUGCUGGGGGAGACGCACUUACCUUUCCAAAGUGCUGGGUGAUAGGCAGGCGCUGUUGCAGGCGAUCUGAGCGGCUGGUGAGGGACGGGGCUCUCAGGGAGCCCCCCCUUUGCCGGCUAGAGUCCCCAUCCUAGGAAGAGGGUGGGUGAGCCGGGUGGGUGAGCCCUUCUCCACUGCCCCGGCCGUUGGCCACCGGCCUUACCUUGUACAUCAGAAGGCUGUGCACACCCUUCAAGCCGCUCUUGGCCUACGGAGGAGCCACAAAGAGAAUUAGACUCCGCAGUGCUUUGAACCUGGGCAGUCAAGAGCUCGGCUCUCCGUCCCCUAGGAUCACUGUCCUGCCAUCUGUUCACGUUUGUGCUACACGGACCACCUGAGAAGUCAACACAGACUCACCCCUUGCCUAAUAGAAACGAAUUCCUAGAGGACAUAACCACCGAACGAAACGGAGAGUGGCAAACACAGAACACUGUAAGUGGUGUCAGCAUUCAAGAGACCAGCAACAGAUAAGACCCAAGGGACAAUUCGGUGCGGCAGAGGUUGGCCACAGGAAACUUGGGGGCUCGGGAGAAAAAGAAACACAAGGGCAGAGGCUGGGACCGUAGUGUCUGAGGACAAAAGAUGUUCGCCAAUGAAUCUUGGUCGUCAGUUUUCAGCGGGGAAGAAAUGAUCCUGGCAGAAAUGAGCAGGUAACCGGAAAUUAAAAGCGCGAAGACUUAUUUAA